UAUGUGAUCGUCUCUCGCAUAUCAAUAAGCGGAGGAAAAGAAACUAACAAGGAUUCCCCUAGUAACGGCGAGUGAAGCGGGAAAAGGCUCAAAUUUGAAAUCUUAAAGGGUUUCCCUUUACGAAUUGUAGUUUAAAGGAGUGUUUUCUGUUGAGGUUUUGGUAAAAGUUCUUUGGAAUAGGACAUCAUAGAGGGUGAGAAUCCCGUAUUUGACCUUCACUUUCAACUUUGUGAUACACUUUCAAAGAGUCGGAUUGUUUGGGAAUGCAGUCCAAAAUGGGUGGUAAAUUUCAUCUAAAGCUAAAUAUUGGCGAGAGACCGAUAGCGAACAAGUACCGUGAGGGAAAGAUGAAAAGAACUUUGAAAAGAGAGUUAAACAGUACGUGAAAUUGUCAAAAGGGAAGCGUUUGACACCAGUGUUGUUUUUCUGAAAAUCAAUUAAAGAACUGUUUAUGCUAAGCUGUUUAGACUUUAUCAGCUAUCUGUUUAGUUUUGAGCUUUUCUUUAAUGCACUUUUCAGUUAACAAGUCAACAUCAAUUUCUUUUGCUGUAAAAAAGCUUGAGGAAGGUGGCUUGAGAUUCGUCUUAAGUGUUUAUAGCCUCUUGCCUAUGCAGUCGGAGAGAUUGAGGUCUGCAGCGUAGAUCCUUCGGGGCUAAAUGCAUUCGUGCUAAGUUAUAGCAUUUUAUAGACAACUUGUUGACUAUGAUUUGUCUUGUAGCUUACUCGCUUAUGUUAUUUUACCUACGCUUAGGAUGUUGAUCUACAGAGCGAGAGU
rnacentral:rRNA from 1 species